rnacentral:rRNA from 1 species
GAUGAACGCUGGCGGUAUGCUUAACACAUGCAAGUCGAACGGACUCUUCGGAGUUAGUGGCGGACGGGUGAGUAACGCGUGAGAAUCUGGCUUUGGGUUCGGGACAACCACUGGAAACGGUGGCUAAUACCGGAUGUGCCGAGAGGUAAAAGAGAAAUUGCCUGAAGAUGAGCUCGCGUCUGAUUAGCUAGUUGGUGAGGUAAAGGCUCACCAAGGCAGCGAUCAGUAGCUGGUCUGAGAGGAUGACCAGCCACACUGGGACUGAGCCACGGCCCAGACUCCGAAGGGAGGCAGCAGUGGAUAAUCUUCCGCAAUGGGCGAAAGCCUGACGGAGCAAUACCUCGUGAGGGAAGAAGGCUCGUGGGUUGCAAACCUCCUUUCUUAGAGAAGAACAAAAUGACUGUACCUAAGGAAUCAGCAUCGGCGAACUCCGU